CUGUGAGUGGUGCUUCCUUAAGUAGUGGUUGUGUGUCUAUUACCUCUGAGGCCCAUUGUCUCCAAGUGUUCAGUGUGGUUUUUGUGCACCAUAGUGCGUCAUUCCCUAAGUUUUUUGGUUCGUGUGUCCAGAGGGCAUUGGACAUAGUGGACGGGUGUAUGCAGGCAUUCUCGAGAGCUAACCAUAAAGGGGUUUGUUCUGCG